GAUGAAGAACGUAGCGAAAUGCGAUACGUAAUGUGAAUUGCAGAUUUCAGUGAAUCAUCGAAUCUUUGAACGCACAUUGCGCCCGCUAGUAUUCUGGCGGGCAUGCCUGUUCGAGCGUCAUUUCAACCAUCAAGCCCCCGGCUUGCGUUGGAGCCCUGCGGCUGCCGCAGGCUCCCAAAUCUAGUGGCGGGCUCGUCGUCGUACCGAGUGCAGUAAACAUCCUCGCUCAGGGAACGCGUCGGGUUCUUGCCGUGAAACCCCCCCAUAACAAGGUUGACCUCGGAUCAGGUAGGAAUACCCGCUGAACUUAAGCAUAUCAAUAAGCGGAGGA
rnacentral:misc_RNA from 1 species